rnacentral:rRNA from 1 species
AUGAUCUCCCUCUUCGUCUGCCAGGUUAUCGAGACCAACGUCCACAAGGUUAACUUGUUCAUCUUGGAUUGCCAUCACCCCCUAGAACAUGUCUCAUUCGCGGAGAUUCAUUCAUAUGUCGGACCGCAUGGUGCAUGCAUUAGCGAUGACAUGGACAGGGGCUUCACUGACAGGAAGAACUUGCUCAUGGACCGCAGGACCAUGGCUCCCAAGAUCGAUGACCUCAAAUUCUUACUCGAGGUACCGACCCUGAGGUCCUUCUUGGUGCCACAUGUGGUUGGUGGGCUGCAUUUUUUAAGUUGGUAUGAUGAACUGGACUUUGUAAAUGAGCACAUAUAUACACUGAAUCCUGGUAAAUGGCAGCUGAAUUUCAAGCACUACAUUAGUGAUUGGGGCAAUGGUCAGACCUGCUUGCAUGAAAAAAAGGGCAAUUUGGAUGUGCUUGCAGGAGCUCAGAACUCACCUAUUGAUGACUCACCUUGGAAACUGGCUGACAAGGCGACAGAUGCGGGGCCUUCUUCAAUUUCAAGUCACACAUGCCAUCGUCGUCCAGGUCAGUGGUGCCCCGUGCCCAUCGACGACAUCAUGCAGCUGUUCGCCAACGCCUGGAUGAAUCACUUCAAGACAUUAUUCCUUGACCAUAAUGUAGUGCCGCCCUGGACUAGCAGCUUGUCGCCUACACCUCAAUACAAUACCCAGAAGUGCAUCCGCGCCGGCAGCAAGCACAACGACCUCGACGCCAUGGGAAACAGUACUCCUUGA